rnacentral:rRNA from 1 species
GAUGAACGCUAGCUACAGGCUUAACACAUGCAAGUCGAGGGGAAAUGAUAUUGGAAACUUGCUUCCGAUAGGCGUCGACCGGCGCACGGGUGAGUAACGCGUAUCCAACCUGCCCACCACUUGGGGAUAACCUUGCGAAAGUAAGACUAAUACCCAAUGAUAUCUCUAGAAGACAUCUGAAGGAGAUUAAAGAUUUAUCGGUGAUGGAUGGGGAUGCGUCUGAUUAGCUUGUUGGCGGGGUAACGGCCCACCAAGGCGACGAUCAGUAGGGGUUCUGAGAGGAAGGUCCCCCACAUUGGAACGGAGAUACGGUCCAAACUCCUACGGGAGGCAGCAGUGAGGAAUAUUGGUCAAUGGGCGAGAGCCUGAACCAGCCAAGUAGCGUGCAGGAUGACGGCCCUAUGGGUUGUAAACUGCUUUUAUAAGGGAAUAAAGUGAGCCUCGUGAGGCUUUUUGCAUGUACCUUAUGAAUAAGGACCGGCUAAUUCCGUGCCAGCCGCCGCCGUAA